AAAAUUGCGUCAUAGCAAGCGACACAGCACAGGCGAGUUGAAAACAAACAGGUGUGUGAGUCAAGGGCCAUGGGUUCAAAAGGCAAACAGAGAAAGAUUGCUGAUGAGACCAGAGGGUUUAAGUAAGAAUGGACUCAACUAUUUGCUUUCAUUGGCAAUGCUGAAGGAUUGCCUGAAUGUUUGAUUUGCAAUGAGAAGUUGUCAAAUAUAACAAGAAGAGAAAUUUGGAGCGACAUUUUCAGCUAAAGCAUGCUAAAUUUUCUGCCGGUCACCCAGUUGGAACUGAGAGGAAAGGUACAAUUUGAGGAACAAAAAUACAGUUUCAAGAAGUGGAUUGCAUCUUCUAACUCUACUACUGCUGUAAGUUUUGUUGCAUCCCGGGAGAUAAUAAAGCGCGGAAAACCAUUUACCGAUGUAAAGGAAAUGGUCAUUUGUAUGGCAAACAAUAUCACCGAUCAGCAAAUCAAGGACAUCAAUUCAGGUCCAGCUUUCUCAAUUGCCUGUGAUGGAUGAGUCGUGUGACGCGACCAAUAUCGAAUAGACAGCUCUGCUAUGGAGGAUGUGGUGCAUGAGCGAGAUGGUCUCACUGACUUUUUGCUCACGAAGAUGCUUGAUGAACUUGAGGAAAUACCUGCAAUAAAACUGGUUCUCUCCAGUGCUUCUUUGGAUGUUGAAUUGUUCCUCAAGUAUUUUGGCGCUUGGUCCUGUCCUUUUUCAUCGUAAGACAUUGUAAACUGUGAUUCUGGUGUAAUUGGUUCGUUUGAGUUAAUAGUUGCUUUGCUCUCAUAAUAUAAGGGAAUCAUUUUCACUGCUGGCAUCUGGCAUGUCUAAUGUCCACCUUCAUAUCAAAUCAUAAUCUGAAACCUAAAUGAUGCAAUAAUAAAUAGACUAUGUUCAA